rnacentral:rRNA from 1 species
GAUGAACGCUAGCUACAGGCUUAACACAUGCAAGUCGAGGGGAAACGACAUCGAAAGCUUGCUUUUGAUGGGCGUCGACCGGCGCUCGGGUGAGUAACGCGUAUCCAACCUGCCCAUCACUUGGGAAUAACCUUGCGAAAGUAAGACUAAUACCCAAUGAUAUCCCACGAAGGCAUCGGAAUGGGAUUAAAGAUUUAUCGGUGAUGGAUGGGGAUGCGUCUGAUUAGCUUGUUGGCGGGGUAACGGCCCACCAAGGCAACGAUCAGUAGGGGUUCUGAGAGGAAGGUCCCCCACAUUGGAACUGAGACACGGUCCAAACUCCUACGGGAGGCAGCAGUGAGGAAUAUUGGUCAAUGGGCGAGAGCCUGAACCAGCCAAGUAGCGUGCAGGAAGACGGCCCUAUGGGUUGUAAACUGCUUUUAUAAGGGAAUAAAGUGGGUCACGUGUGACUUUUUGCAUGUACCUUAUGAAUAAGGACCGGCUAAUUCCGUG